CAAAAGUUCUUUUUUUUUUUUUUUUGUGAAUCAAAAGCGCGCAAGCGGCAUUUUAUUAUGUCUUGUAAUGCAUCACAUCAUCGUAAGUAGUUUGAGUGCUAGCAAAUAAUUCCGGAUUGAACUUGAGACACUUGAUGACGUUUGGCUCAUCCCAAAAUGUCCCAUUGUGGUGCAUAUUGUGUUGCACAUUUAUCUUUUUAAUUAGUAGAGCACUGCUGUGGAUAAAUUUGACGGUCUAGACGUUCUCAAACAUUUAACUUACACAUUGACAUACAUUUCUGUUCACUUUUAGUGUCCCUUUAAGCAAUGAAAUAUGUCAUGUCAAAAGCACAGUCAUUACUCACCCUUGGAGAUUUUCAACCAUGGGUCUCGCAAUUCGCUAAAAAUACCCUUUAACUGUAGCUACUGAAAAAAAAUUCAAAAUAACAAAUGGGAAGAUAACUUCAGAACCUCAAUAGUUGCAGUUGUGUGCGAAAUGGUCCUUUCAUAUGAAAGUAGUCUAGGUUUUGCUGUUUGUACUCAUAGUCUCUGCCACUACGAUAGCACUGCUACAUUUUUAUACCAAAUGAGAAUACAGUAGCACAGUAAAGUUGAAUUUUGGCAUUGCGAAAUUGUAUUGGAGUCGUGGAACAAAUGCGAGUGCCACAAAUUCAAAGAUGCUGUUUUCUUUGACUUUGUGGCAGUAGUUGGUCACUUGGGAUACUGUGGUGGUAAUGGGUUGCUGCAAUGUAAAAGAAAAAAAAACUGGAAAAAGAAGCAGUUGGCAACUGUGGCAUCAACAAUGAGAGUAGCAAAGGAGAGAUAUUAGUUCGAUUUGUGGGGUAAAAAAUGAAUAUUAUAAUGAACAAGUUCAAAAACAUGAAAAUAGGAAGCAUUCGUUGGUAAGCCAAGUCAGAAAAACUGAAAACAGACUAGAUGUAUAAUGGGCAAUGAGUCUGAAUCAAAAAAUUCUAUUUGGACCCACCAGCGCGUAAACCAGCACGCAGCAGGCCGUUCUCACACAGGGACAGGUAGGUCUAGCCCCCGCGAUAUCGCAGUAUUGUUGGCCUGCCCAUAAUUGUGCUUCCAAAUCGAGACAGUGUAGCAGUAUCCCGCUUGUAUGAUGUAACAUCUUCGUCUACCCAUUAAAAGGGGCACCACCAGAGCAUGUGGUCUAAGUUGGCAAAGUCUUAAACGCUUAAUUCGACUGUGCAGUGAAAUAUUAUACGCUAUUCUGACUAUAUCAGUGGCUUGUAAAUUAGUGCUCGUUUUUCACCUUGUGCUCAUCCAAGAAUGUAACAUUACAGAUGAAGGGCUAUAGUAAUGGUUCCUGUGGAUGGCAGUGCUUCUACCCAUUUUCAGAUGAAGGGCUAACGCAAUGAUCCCUGUGGAUGGCAGUGCUUCUACCCAUUUUCAGAUGAAGGGCUAACGCAAUGAUCCCUGUGGAUGGCAGUGCUUCUACCCAUUUUCAGAUGAAGGGCUAUCUUAAUCGUCCCUGUGGAUGACAGUGCUUCUACACAUUUUCAGAUGAAGGGCUAACGCAAUGAUCCCUGUGGAUGGCAGUGCUUCUACCCAUUUUCAGAUGAAGGGCUAUUGCAAUGAUCCCUGUGGAUGGCAGUGCUUCUACCCAUUUUCAGAUGAAGGGCUAUAGUAAUGGUUCCUGUGGAUGGACAGUGCUUCUACCCAUUUUCAGAUGAAGGGCUAACGCAAUGAUCCCUGUGGAUGGCAGUGCUUCUACCCAUUUUCAGAUGAAGGGCUAUUGCAAUGAUCCCUGUGGAUGGCAGUGCUUCUACCCAUUUUCAGAUGAAGGGCUAUAGUAAUGGUUCCUGUGGAUGGCAGUGCUUCUACCCAUUUUCAA